GACGAACGCUGGCGGCGUGCUUAACACAUGCAAGUCGAACGGAAAGGACCUGCUUUUGUGGGGUGCUCGAGUGGCGAACGGGUGAGUAACACGUGAGUAACCUGCCCUUGACUUUGGGAUAACUUCAGGAAACUGGGGCUAAUACCGGAUAGGAGCUCCUGCUGCAUGGUGGGGGUUGGAAAGUUUCGGCGGUUGGGGAUGGACUCGCGGCUUAUCAGUCUGUUGGUGGGGUAGUGGCUUACCAAGGCUUUGACGGGUACCCGGCCUGAGAGGGUGACCGGCCACAUUGGGACUGAGAUACGGCCCAGACUCCUGCGGGAGGCAGCAGUGGGGAAUAUUGCACAAUGGGCGGAAGCCUGAUGCAGCAACGCGGCGUGCGGGAUGACGGCCUUCGGGUUGUAAACCGCUUUCGCCUGUGACGAAGCGUGAGUGACGGUAAUGUGUAAAGAAGCACCGGCUAACUACGUG
rnacentral:rRNA from 1 species